rnacentral:rRNA from 1 species
UUAAAUUGAAGAGUUUGAUCAUGGCUCAGAUUGAACGCUGGCGGCAGGCCUAACACAUGCAAGUCGAACGGUAACAGGAAACAGCUUGCUGUUUCGCUGACGAGUGGCGGACGGGUGAGUAAUGUCUGGGAAACUGCCUGAUGGAGGGGGAUAACUACUGGAAACGGUAGCUAAUACCGCAUAAUGUCGCAAGACCAAAGAGGGGGACCUUCGGGCCUCUUGCCAUCGGAUGUGCCCAGAUGGGAUUAGCUAGUAGGUGGGGUAACGGCUCACCUAGGCGACGAUCCCUAGCUGGUCUGAGAGGAUGACCAGCCACACUGGAACUGAGACACGGUCCAGACUCCUACGGGAGGCAGCAGUGGGGAAUAUUGCACAAUGGGCGCAAGCCUGAUGCAGCCAUGCCGCGUGUAUGAAGAAGGCCUUCGGGUUGUAAAGUACUUUCAGCGGGGAGGAAGGGAGUAAAGUUAAUACCUUUACUCAUUGACGUUACCCGCAGAAGAAGCACCGGCUAACUCCGUGCCAGCAGCCGCGGUAAUACGGAGGGUGCAAGCGUUAAUCGGAAUUACUGGGCGUAAAGCGCACGCAGGCGGUUUGUUAAGUCAGAUGUGAAAUCCCCGGGCUCAACCUGGGAACUGCAUCUGAUACUGGCAAGCUUGAGUCUCGUAGAGGGGGGUAGAAUUCCAGGUGUAGCGGUGAAAUGCGUAGAGAUCUGGAGGAAUACCGGUGGCGAAGGCGGCCCCCUGGACGAAGACUGACGCUCAGGUGCGAAAGCGUGGGGAGCAAACAGGAUUAGAUACCCUGGUAGUCCACGCCGUAAACGAUGUCGACUUGGAGGUUGUGCCCUUGAGGCGUGGCUUCCGGAGCUAACGCGUUAAGUCGACCGCCUGGGGAGUACGGCCGCAAGGUUAAAACUCAAAUGAAUUGACGGGGGCCCGCACAAGCGGUGGAGCAUGUGGUUUAAUUCGAUGCAACGCGAAGAACCUUACCUGGUCUUGACAUCCACAGAACCUUGUAGAGAUACGAGGGUGCCUUCGGGAACUGUGAGACAGGUGCUGCAUGGCUGUCGUCAGCUCGUGUUGUGAAAUGUUGGGUUAAGUCCCGCAACGAGCGCAACCCUUAUCCUUUGUUGCCAGCGGUCCGGCCGGGAACUCAAAGGAGACUGCCAGUGAUAAACUGGAGGAAGGUGGGGAUGACGUCAAGUCAUCAUGGCCCUUACGACCAGGGCUACACACGUGCUACAAUGGCGCAUACAAAGAGAAGCGACCUCGCGAGAGCAAGCGGACCUCAUAAAGUGCGUCGUAGUCCGGAUUGGAGUCUGCAACUCGACUCCAUGAAGUCGGAAUCGCUAGUAAUCGUGGAUCAGAAUGCCACGGUGAAUACGUUCCCGGGCCUUGUACACACCGCCCGUCACACCAUGGGAGUGGGUUGCAAAAGAAGUAGGUAGCUUAACCUUCGGGAGGGCGCUUACCACUUUGUGAUUCAUGACUGGGGUGAAGUCGUAACAAGGUAACCGUAGGGGAACCUGCGGUUGGAUCACCUCCUUACCUUAAAGAAGC